UAGGGAGGUCAGGGCCAGGAGCCCCCCCUGAGCCCAGGGUAACGCUUAAAGUUGGGGGGGCA
rfam:Rattus norvegicus chromosome 1, whole genome shotgun sequence.